GAUGAAGAACGUAGCGAAAUGCGAUAAGUAAUGUGAAUUGCAGAAUCCAGUGAAUCAUCGAAUCUUUGAACGCACAUUGCGCCCUCUGGUAUUCCGGGGGGCAUGCCUGUUCGAGCGUCAUUACAACCCUCAAGCUUUGCUUGGUAUUGGACAUUGCCAGUUUCUGGCAGGUCUUAAAAUCAGUGGCGGUGCCAUUUGGCUUCAAGCGUAGUAAUUCUUCUCGCUUUGGAGAUCCAAGUGGUUACUUGCCAAUAACCCCCAAUUUUUUCAGGUUGACCUCGGAUCAGGUAGGGAUACCCGCUGAACUUAAGCAUAUCAAUAAGCGGAGGA
rnacentral:misc_RNA from 1 species